AUUGAACGCUGGCGGCAGGCCUAACACAUGCCAGUCGAGCGGAUGAAGGGAGCUUGCUCCUGGAUUCAGCGGCGGACGGGUGAGUAAUGCCUAGGAAUCUGCCUGGUAGUGGGGGAUAACGUCCGGAAACGGGCGCUAAUACCGCAUACGUCCUGAGGGAGAAAGUGGGGGAUCUUCGGACCUCACGCUAUCAGAUGAGCCUAGGUCGGAUUAGCUAGUUGGUGGGGUAAAGGCCUACCAAGGCGACGAUCCGUAACUGGUCUGAGAGGAUGAUCAGUCACACUGGAACUGAGACACGGUCCAGACUCCUACGGGAGGCAGCAGUGGGGAAUAUUGGACAAUGGGCGAAAGCCUGAUCCAGCCAUGCCGCGUGUGUGAAGAAGGUCUUCGGAUUGUAAAGCACUUUAAGUUGGGAGGAAGGGCAGUAAGUUAAUACCUUGCUGUUUUGACGUUACCAACAGAAUAAGCACUGGCUAACUUCGUG
rnacentral:rRNA from 1 species